UGGGGUGACUGCGUACCUUUUGUAUAAUGGGUCAGCGACUUAUAUUCUGUAGCAAGGUUAACCGAAUAGGGGAGCCGGAGGGAAACCGAGUCUUAAUUGGGCGUUAAGUUGCAGGGUAUAGACCCGAAACCCGGUGAUCUAGCCAUGGGCAGGUUGAAGGUUGGGUAACACUAACUGGAGGACCGAACCGACUAAUGUUGAAAAAUUAGCGGAUGACCUGUGGCUGGGGGUGAAAGGCCAAUCAAACCGGGAGAUAGCUGGUUCUCCCCGAAAGCUAUUUAGGUAGCGCCUCGUGAAUUCAUCUCCGGGGGUAGAGCACUGUUUCGGCUAGGGGGCCAUCCCGGCUUACCAACCCGAUGCAAACUGCGAAUACCGGAGAAUGUUAUCACGGGAGACACACGGCGGGUGCUAACGUCCGUCGUGAAGAGGGAAACAACCCAGACCGCCAGCUAAGGUCCCAAAGUCAUGGUUAAGUGGGAAACGAUGUGGGAAGGCCCAGACAGCCAGGAUGUUGGCUUAGAAGCAGCCAUCAUUUAAAGAAAGCGUAAUAGCUCACUGGUCGAGUCGGCCUGCGCGGAAGAUGUAACGGGGCUAAACCAUGCACCGAAGCUGCGGCAGCGAACGUAUCACCCAAGACAACUUUACGGAGUUGACGAUUGACGGAGCGAAGCGACGUCAAAGCGUUCAUUAAAGUCGAGUUGGCUUAGGGAUACGUUCGUUGGGUAGGGGAGCGUUCUGUAAGCCUGUGAAGGUGUGUCGUGAGGCAUGCUGGAGGUAUCAGAAGUGCGAAUGCUGACAUAAGUAACGAUAAAGCGGGUGAAAAGCCCGCUCGCCGGAAGACCAAGGGUUCCUGUCCAACGUUAAUCGGGGCAGGGUGAGUCGACCCCUAAGGCGAGGCCGAAAGGCGUAGUCGAUGGGAAACGGGUUAAUAUUCCCGUACUUGGUGUUACUGCGAAGGGGGGACGGAGAAGGCUAUGUUGGCCGGGCGACGGUUGUCCCGGUUUAAGCGUGUAGGUGUGUGUUCCAGGUAAAUCCGGUUCACUUUAACACUGAGGCGUGACGACGA
rnacentral:rRNA from 1 species